AGAGUUUGAUCCUGGCUCAGGACGAACGCUGGCGGCGUGCUUAAGACAUGCAAGUCGAACGAGAAAGCCUCUUCGGAGGUAAGUAAAGUGGCGCACGGGUGAGUAACGCGUGGAUAAUCUGCCCUUAGGUUUGGGAUAACCCCGGGAAACCGGAGCUAAUACCGAAUAAGACCACGAUGACUUCGGUCGAUGUGGCAAAAGAUGGCCUCUUCUUGAAAGCUAUCGCCAAUGGAUGAGUCCGCGUUUGAUUAGCUUGUUGGUGAGGUAAAGGCUCACCAAGGCACCGAUCAAUAGCUGGUCUGAGAGGACGAUCAGCCACACUGGAACUGAGACACGGUCCAGACUCCUACGGGAGGCAGCAGUCGGGAAUAUUGGGCAAUGGGCGAAAGCCUGACCCAGCAACGCCGCGUGAAGGAUGAAGGCCUUCGGGUCGUAAACUUCUGUCGAGAGGGAAGAAUGCGCGUAGGUGAAUAAUCUGCGCGUUUGACGGUACCUCCAAAGGAAGGACCGGCUAACUCCGUGCCAGCAGCCGCGGUAAUACGGAGGGUCCAAGCGUUGUUCGGAUUUAUUGGGCGUAAAGCGAGCGUAGGCGGUUUAACAAGUCGGAUGUGAAAUCCCAGGGCCCAACCCUGGAACUGCACCCGAUACUGUUAGGCUAGAGUCCCGGAGAGGAUGGCGGAAUUCCCGGUGUAGGGGUGA
rnacentral:rRNA from 1 species